CUUGAAUAUUCCUCACGCUGUUGGACGUCGUAUCUUAGUGAAUUCACCUAUCUCAAUAACCAAAUGUUGUGAUACUGAACAUUGUAACAAAAAUCUGUUGUGUCCUGGCGGGAUUUGUGGCAGUACAAACAGUCUUACCAGUACAACCAGUCUUACCAGUACAACCAGUUUUCCAACACAACCAGCUUGUCUAGAUAAUGAUAUACCAAUCUGUAAAUCUCCAGAAUCAUUAUCUCUUGCGUGUAAAGAACCUACAAUUAGAACAUACUGCAAAAAAUCAUGUGGAUUAUGUCCGGUGUGUAAAGAUCACGUGAGUGACUGUCAGGACCAAUCAUUUCUGUCGGUUGUUUGUGGUAGACCGGAAGCUCAGUUUUUCUGUAAAAAGUCAUGUAACAAGUGCUGAUUAAAGUUGAUUAAAAAAUGGAGUGUUUUAUUGAUGAACAAAAACCAGGAUAGUUUUUGACUAAAAAUAGUUUUUACUUAUUCCAAACCAAACCAUUUUGUCAUUACAUUCACAUAAAGUUAGCGUUUGAAACAAUAUAUCG